rnacentral:lncRNA from 1 species
AGAAUUUGGGGAUUAUUUUCCCCCCACCCCAUUCCCCAAAAAUUAUUCAAAAAUUUCUCCAUUUGGGGUGGGGCUCCACGGGGCCCCAAACCCGUGGAGGAUUUUGCCAUCCCUAAGCUCAGAAUUCUUCAUUACAAGCAAAUAGAUGGUGACCCAAAAUUGACAAGAAUUGGGGGGAUGCGUAAUGCCAACCUACCUGUAUGUCUAAAUCAUUUUUGCCUUAGAAAAGAAGGGUAAAGAACUCUUGUUUGUUAAAUCAUUUUAUCAAUACGAUUUUAGUCUCUUUGAUUAACAACAUUUUUUUUUUUUUGGAAUGAGAACUAUUGCUCAUGAUGACAUUUACAAUCAUAUAUAUACUGAGACCUGUUUACAUCAAUUCUGAUAUGGCACCGCUCAGAUUUUUAACCCUCUCAAAUAUUCGAGGGACGUCAACUCCCAUUCUGAGAGAAAGACUGCCUUCACUCAAGCUCUGGGACUCCAAGGAAGGAAAUUGAAAUCAAACCCUUACAAUGCGUCUGCGGAGGCUCGAACCACUUCCCUCACAUUUGUGAGGGAGUGACUCUGGCCACUUGGGCUAAGCCCAAGUGGUUGAUUAACAACAUUAAUCUGUCUUUUUCUUUUCGAUGACAAGUUUGUAUGAUGGGAUUGCAAAAUUAAGCCAUGUUUAUAAUU